GUCAUGGUAUCCCUUCAACUGGCUGAGUUUCUCACUGCUGCAUGGACAGAUACUCGGUCAUCUCCAUUUAUUCGAGAGAAGCUUAACAGUCUAUGUAAGCAAAGCAGUACCUAUUUCUUCCAAACCUGUAUCUCCAGAGUUUGGAUCUAGACUUCAUGUGUCUGGAGGCACAAUAAUUAUAUACCGAGUGUAUGUGCCAUUCAAUUGGCCCAGUAAUUCUGUGCUAAUACUAGUUACGUUCUGCAGAGUCAAACAACAGAGGCUCGGUGUGUAAAUAACUUGACCAUAUUUGCUCAGCUUGUGAGUAAUGGGGACUAUAAUUCAAAGUCAUUGUGUCUGUCAUCAGGGCCAUUUGCCCGACAGCUCCAUUUUGCUAUCCAUCAUUUGCUGCUGCAUAGAGGAUCUUCUUUUCAUGCAAUCAAAUCAUCAUUUGUUUAAUUCCUUGAAUUCACCUUUAUAGCAUAGAAUCAUGUUCUGUUUAGGAUCAUUUCUAUUUGCAUGUUCAAAGGUCUCCCCGCUGCUCGCCCCCAUUUUAGCCUGGGUUGCUGCCAGCCCUCUGUAGCUCACUGGAGGCUAGCUCCUGGCAUUGUCUAGGCUCUAAAGCUCUGUUGGUAUGCAAAAGCUGCAGACCUGUUUCAAGGAGGAAGCGUUCCCAGGUGAUCCACGGGGUAGCAUUAUCUCUGCAAUGUAUGUCGCAUCAUGCCUCGUCGAAUGGCGUCUAAUGACCUUGGGUCUGAGCCGGUGCUGACAUGUGACCCGCGCUCAUUUGUCACUUUCUACAUUGUGAGAUGUACUGAAAUAACAGGGAAGAGGAAAAAGCAGACGAGGGCCUCUCCUGGAUGUCUGGAAACGGUUAGCAAUGCAUGCAGCAUUUACUCUUGUAAUUCUCUUUUGUUUGUUCUGGGUUACAAGGGCCAGCUUUGAAGUUAAAAAUAAAACAACUAUUGUUAGAAGCUGAGGUGGUCACCCUUUAUAGUGGAGCCUCAGGUCCGGAUGAGUCACUGCAAAGACUCCUCCUGGAAUGUUUGCAGGGCUGGCCAGUGGGCUGGAUAAAUGCUGGCGUCCUUAACUGGGCUGUACCAAAUCCCUUCCUGGCUCCUUUUGAUUUGGUGCAGAGGGGGAGGCCCAGGGGCUCACAGGAGCCAGGCAAAUUCCACAAUCACUUAGCCCCAGACAGACCCAGACCAAGCCCCAGUACCCUUGAUAGAGCCCAUUCUUUUUGCCUAGCUAAUCUCCCUCUAUACUAGUGGUUCAAAGCCUUCCUAAUGCUGUGACCCUUUAAUAUAGUUCCUCAUGUUGUGGUGACCCCCAGACAUAAUACUGUCAUGUUGCUAUCUCAUGCCUGUGAUUUUGAUAUUGUAAUGUAUAUAUCUUAUAUGCAGGAUAUCU
rnacentral:lncRNA from 1 species